UACGGGGGGGGCAAGCGUUGUUCGGAAUUACUGGGCGUAAAGGGCGCGUAGGCGGCCUGCUAAGUCGAACGUGAAAUCCCGGAGCUCAACUUCGGAACUGCCCUUGAUACAGCACGUCUUGAGUCCGGAAGAGGUGGGUGGAAUUCCUAGUGUAGAGGUGAAAUUCGUAGAUAUUAGGAAGAACACCGGUGGCGAAGGCGGCCCACUGGUCCGGUACUGACGCUGAGGUGCGAAAGCGUGGGGAGCAAACAGG
rnacentral:rRNA from 1 species